AUUGAACGCUGGCGGCAGGCCUAACACAUGCAAGUCGAACGAGUGGCGGACGGGUGAGUAAUUCUUGGGAAACUCCCUGUUGGAGGGGGUCAAUACUUGAAACCGUAACUUAUUCCCCCUACAUUCGAUUGUCCCCAGUUGGGAUUACCUGGUUGGUGGGGUAACGGCUCACCAAGGCGACGACCCCUAGCUGGUCUGAGAGGAUGACCAGCCACACUGGAACUGAGACACGGUCCAGACUCCGACGGGAGGCAGCAGUGGGGAAUAUUGCACAAGGGGCGCAAGCCUGAUGCAGCCAUGCCGCGUGUAUGAAGAAGGCCUUCGGGUUGUAAAGUACUUUCAGCGAGGAGGCGUUACCCGCAGAAGAAGCACCGGCUAACUCCGUGCCAGCAGCCGCGGUAAUAC
rnacentral:rRNA from 1 species